rnacentral:rRNA from 1 species
UGGGGAAUAUUGGACAAUGGGCGCAAGCCUGAUCCAACCAUGCCGCGUGAGUGAUGAAGGCCCUAGGGUUGUAAAGCUCUUUCACCGGUGAAGAUAAUGACGGUAACCGGAGAAGAAGCCCCGGCUAACUUCGUGCCAGCAGCCGCGGUAAUACGAAGGGGGCUAGCGUUGUUCGGAUUUACUGGGCGUAAAGCGCACGUAGGCGGACUUUUAAGUCAGGGGUGAAAUCCCGGGGCUCAACCCCGGAACUGCCUUUGAUACUGGAAGUCUUGAGUAUGGUAGAGGUGAGUGGAAUUCCGGGUGUAGAGGUGAAAUUCGUAGAUAUUCGGAGGAACACCAGUGGCGAAGGCGGCUCACUGGACCAUUACUGACGCUGAGGUGCGAAAGCGUGGGGAGCAAACAGG